rnacentral:rRNA from 1 species
AUUGAACGCUGGCGGCAUGCCUUACACAUGCAAGUCGAACGGUAACAGGUCUUCGGAUGCUGACGAGUGGCGAACGGGUGAGUAAUACAUCGGAACGUGCCCGAUCGUGGGGGAUAACGAAGCGAAAGCUUUGCUAAUACCGCAGAAGAUCUACGGAUGAAAGCAGGGGACCGCAAGGCCUUGCGCGAACGGAGCGGCCGAUGGCAGAUUAGGUAGUUGGUGGGAUAAAAGCUUACCAAGCCGACGAUCUGUAGCUGGUCUGAGAGGACGACCAGCCACACUGGGACUGAGACACGGCCCAGACUCCUACGGGAGGCAGCAGUGGGGAAUUUGGACAAUGGGCGAAAGCCUGAUCCAGCCAUGCCGCGUGCAGGAUGAAGGCCUUCGGGUUGUAAACUGCUUUCGUACGGAACGAAAAGACUCUUUCUAAUAAAGAGGGUCCAUGACGGUACCGUAAGAAUAAGCACCGGCUAACUACGUGCCAGCCGCCGCCGUAA